UCUUGGCCAACACUUAUUUGGCAGGUAAAGCUUAAAUAUGAACUAAUCUUAUUAAUCAUUUUCACUUGUGCCCAUUUUCCACUUAGAAAACUGUUCUGGAUUUGGGUCUGUAGAGUAAAAGGUUAUGUCACUUGAUACUCCACACCUCCUGCUAGUUAUGGAGAUCUGGUUGAGAUCCCAUUUUGUUGUUUCUUGAUACCAAACACAAAACGAGUUGUUGCUAUUGAAAAAGCUGCAUGAGAUGCAUAUUUUUAGAAAUAUGACUAACAUCUGUUAUGGUGUAGUUUGGUCUUACGUGUGGCAGGUUCCUCUGCUCCUGAAUGUUUUACUGACUACUGCCUUCUAAAUUUUCCUUUUAUGUAUUGGUUUCAGUUCACCUUGGCAUGCAUCAAG
rnacentral:misc_RNA from 1 species